AUCAGGAUGGUUUUUCGGUUAGUUUAUUUGUUUUCAUGAUUCUUCCUGCCCUUCCUCCUUUUAGCCAUGUGAGGGUUCUUGGAUGAGGUUAAUCCAAUCAUCAUGAGCUCCAUUUCAAUUUGCAAAUUCCUCAUUCUCGCAUAUGGCCAUAGAGGUCUGUUUGGCUUACUAUGGAUGCCAGACACUUAGGAUUUCAUCUCAGAGGCAAUCAGGUGUGUGUCAAACUCCCUACCUAUUUUUAAACAGCACAUGCAUUCUAAAACAAGCCAGCAUAUACUUUUUUAAGAAGUUAUUUACCGUGAUGUGUCAUGCAGUCACUUGCUCUAAGAAGGUUGGCACGAGAGCUCAGAUAAAGAUAAACUCUUUUUGAUACAUGCCUGGAAUAUGGAGGAGCUCAGUCGUGGCUACACUCAUCACCCUUAGUUUUUCCAAUAAGAAAAUAACCUAAUAACAACUAAGUCUCCAUUUCCUUAUUAGCAUUCCACUAGGGGUACUCCAGGCUAUGCCUUUAACUACAUAUCAGUCAAUGGCAGGGCAAGAGUGCUUCCUGUGUAAUUAAAACCGCCAUGUUCAGGCAGAUACUGCUAGGCAAGGUAGUAGCCUUGAAAUACUUACAAGGAGGUGGGGAAGAGCACGCAUUUGGCUUUGGAAAGUGACUUUUAGGGUCUGAGUAUGUGCUUGUCAUACUAAAU
rnacentral:lncRNA from 1 species